UUCUGUAAGCUUGCAGUAUGGACCUUGAAGUACACCUCCCUUCUAGCAGUGAACCUCUCCGCUCUCCGUCCUCAUGUUUACAUGAAGCCAUGCGGCAGCACCUGCCGUCAGGUCCAUGAACCGCCCCAUAGAACUAUCAGCAAAAGACGCUUGGUCGGACCCACUGGACAUGAAGGCCGUGUGCCUUUCAGAGUGCAGCAUGCUGCCCGGAUGGAACCUUAGCCACACAACAAGUAAAAUACUCAUGGAAGACGGGAUCCCAGGCACUUAUUUGCAGUUUCUAAGUUGUGGCAGCACUGAAAGGAUCCAGGCUUUCUCCAGACGUUUCACAUU